GCUUUCUCUCUCUAACCGAGAGCCUCUCUCUCUACCCGGUCGCCGGAAAUCGCUGCCGCCGCCGUCGCUGCCGCACCGCCGCCGGUCGCCGCCGUCGCCGGAAUCUGGAUUUCAACCAAAAUUUCCAGAUUUUCUUCUCUUCAUCCCCUCUUUCCAUUUCUCCAACCAAAAUCAAGAAAUUUAGCCAUUUAAUCCCCCAAAAAUCCUAGAACCCGAAGCUAAAAUUGGGGCUUUUGUGAUUUCUUCUUUCCAAGCUCAAAUCAAGGCUAUGGGUUUGGCAAGGAUUUUUGGUGAAGAAGGCCAAGGAGAAGGUAUAUGACGUGAUUUUUGAAGGAGAAAGGGAAACACGAUCGUUAAGGAAGCUUAAGCGGAAAGCAUCAGAGUGUGGAGUACGCCAACAUUUUCCAGGUAAAAUGGAGUCUCAAAGUCCAAAAAUGGCUAAGGAAGGCACAAGUGGCGCAGAAAUUGACACGCUUUGAGCAAGCGCAUAAUUUAACCCUGAAAUGUCAUUAGUAGUAUAAGUAAGUAGGGAUCGUUCUAUUCCGGGGAUUGAG